UACGUAGGGGGCAAGCGUUGUCCGGAAUCAUUGGGCGUAAAGCGCGUGUAGGCGGCUCGGUAAGUCCGCUCUGAAAGUCCAGGGCUCAACCCUGGGAUGCGGGUGGAUACUGCCGGGCUCGAGUCCGGAAGAGGCGAGUGGAAUUCCCGGUGUAGCGGUGAAAUGCGCAGAUAUCGGGAGGAACACCAAGGCGAAGGCAGCUCGCUGGGACGUGACUGACGCUGAGACGCGAAA
rnacentral:rRNA from 1 species